UGAGGAAUAUUGGUCAAUGGGCGAGAGCCUGAACCAGCCAAGUAGCGUGAAGGAUGAAGGUCCUACGGAUUGUAAACUUCUUUUAUACGGGAAUAAAGUUUCCUACGUGUAGGAUUUUGUAUGUACCGUAUGAAUAAGCAUCGGCUAACUCCGUGCCAGCAGCCGCGGUAAUACGGAGGAUGCGAGCGUUAUCCGGAUUUAUUGGGUUUAAAGGGAGCGCAGACGGGAGAUUAAGUCAGUUGUGAAAGUUUGCGGCUCAACCGUAAAAUUGCAGUUGAUACUGGUUUCCUUGAGUGCAGUUGAGGCAGGCGGAAUUCGUGGUGUAGCGGUGAAAUGCUUAGAUAUCACGAAGAACCCCGAUUGCGAAGGCAGCUUGCUAAACUGUAACUGACGUUCAUGCUCGAAAGUGUGGGUAUCAAACAGGAUUAGAUACCCUGGUAGUCCACACGGUAAACGAUGGAUACUCGCUGUUGGCGAUAUACUGUCAGCGGCCAAGCGAAAGCAUUAAGUAUCCCACCUGGGGAGUACGCCGGCAACGGUGAAACUCAAAGGAAUUGACGGGGGCCCGCACAAGCGGAGGAACAUGUGGUUUAAUUCGAUGAUACGCGAGGAACCUUACCCGGGCUUAAAUUGCAGACGAAUUACGAGGAAACUUGUAAGCCGCAAGGCGUCUGUGAAGGUGCUGCAUGGUUGUCGUCAGCUCGUGCCGUGAGGUGUCGGCUUAAGUGCCAUAACGAGCGCAACCCUCGUGGUCAGUUACUAACAGGUUAAGCUGAGGACUCUGGCCAGACUGCCAUCGUAAGAUGUGAGGAAGGUGGGGAUGACGUCAAAUCAGCACGGCCCUUACGUCCGGGGCUACACACGUGUUACAAUGGGAGGUACAGAAGGCAGCUACCCGGCAACGGGAUGCCAAUCCCCAAAACCUCUCUCAGUUCGGACUGGAGUCUGCAACCCGACUCCACGAAGCUGGAUUCGCUAGUAAUCGCGCAUCAGCCACGGCGCGGUGAAUACGUUCCC
rnacentral:rRNA from 1 species